GACGUAGGGCGCGAGCGUUGUCCGGAUUUAUUGGGCGUAAAGAGCUCGUAGGCGGCUUGUCGCGUCGUCCGUGAAAACCUGCGGCUCAACUGCAGGCUUGCGGUCGAUACGGGCAGGCUGGAGUUCGGUAGGGGAGACUGGAAUUCCUGGUGUAGCGGUGAAAUGCGCAGAUAUCAGGAAGAACACCCGUGGCGAAGGCGGCUCUCUGGGACGGUACUGACGCUGAGACGCGAAAGCGUGGGGAGCGAACAGG
rnacentral:rRNA from 1 species